GGGGAAACCAUAGGAACCAAGUUAUUAAGGUAAGCCUAGCCAUUGCUUUUGGUUUAAUAAUUUAGUCCUCUAGUUAAUUAAUUCUUUCCCCUGGCCUGUCUUGUUCCUCCUAGUUCUCCCCUUUUGGUCUCCAAACAAACAACACAACUAAAAAACACCAUAUUCAAGAAAUGGAACUCUCAAGUCAAGAUGCGGAUAUGCCAAUGCCAAUCAACAGUAUAUAUGGGCAUGGUCACAUGAUUCAUCAUGAUCCUCCACCACCACCACCCCAAAACCACAUUGUCCCAAAUUCAGUGUCCCAAAUCCCCUCCANN
rnacentral:lncRNA from 1 species